AGAGUUUGAUCCUGGCUCAGAACGAACGCUGGCGGCGUGCUUAACACAUGCAAGUCGAACGAGAAAACCCCUUCGGGGGUGAGUACAGUGGCGCACGGGUGAGUAACACGUGGGUAACCUACCCUCGGGUAUGGGAUAACGGUUGGAAACGGCCGCUAAUACCGUAUAAGACCACGGGUUCUUCGGAACCUGAGGUAAAAGGAGGCCUCUCCAUGGAAGCUUUCGCCCAAGGAUGGGCCCGCGUACCAUUAGCUUGUUGGUGAGGUAACGGCUCACCAAGGCUCCGAUGGUUAGCUGGUCUGAGAGGAUGAUCAGCCACACUGGAACUGACACACGGUCCAGACUCCUACGGGAGGCAGCAGUGGGGAAUAUUGGGCAAUGGGGGAAACCCUGACCCAGCGACGCCGCGUGAGUGAGGAAGGCCUUCGGGUCGUAAAGCUCUGUCGGGAGGGAAGAACGCGUCGAUGGUUAAUACCUAUCGGCGUUGACGGUACCUCCAACGGAAGCACCGGCUAACUCCGUGCCAGCAGCCGCGGUAAUACGGAGGGUGCAAGCGUUGUUCGGAAUUACUGGGCGUAAAGCGCGUGUAGGCUGAAACAUAAGUCGGAUGUGAAAUCCCCGGGCUCAACCCGGGACCUGCAUUCGAUACUGUGUUUCUUGAGUACGUGAGAGGAGAGCGGAAUUCCUAGUGUAGAGGUGAAAUUCGUAGAUAUUAGGAAGAACACCGGUGGCGAAGGCGGCUCUCUGGCACGAUACUGACGCUGAGACGCGAAAGCGUGGGGAGCAAACAGGAUUAGAUACCCUGGUAGUCCACGCCGUAAACGAUGAGUACUAGGCGUGGGGGGUGUUGACCCCCUCCGUGCCGAAGCUAACGCAUUAAGUACUCCGCCUGGGAAGUACGGUCGCAAGACUAAAACUCAAAGGAAUUGACGGGGACCCGCACAAGCGGUGGAGCAUGUGGUUUAAUUCGACGCAACGCGAAGUACCUUACCUGGGUUGAACUACGUAUGGAUCGCCAUGGAAACAUGGUUUGCCUUUCUUUGAAAGGACCCGUGCGAUAGGUGCUGCAUGGCUGUCGUCAGCUCGUGUCGUGAGAUGUUGGGUUAAGUCCCGCAACGAGCGCAACCCUUGUCCUUAAUUGCCAGCAUUUAGUUGGGCACUUUAAGGAGACUGCCGGCCCUUAAGCCGGAGGAAGGUGGGGAUGACGUCAAGUCCUCAUGGCCCUUAUGCCCAGGGCUACACACGUGCUACAAUGGCCGGUACAAUGGGUCGCAAUCCCGCGAGGGGGAGCCAAUCCCAAAAAACCGGUCUCAGUUCGGAUUGGAGUCUGCAAUUCGACUCCAUGAAGUCGGAAUCGCUAGUAACCGCGUAUCAGCAUGACGCGGUGAAUACGUUCCCGGGUCUUGUAGACACCGCCCGUCACACCAUGGGAGUGGGGUGCAACAGAAGUCGCCAAGCCAACCUUCGGGAGGCAGGCGCCCAAGUUGUGUCUGACGACUG
rnacentral:rRNA from 1 species